rnacentral:rRNA from 1 species
ACCAAAAAGGGGGGGGNGGGGAGGCGACGAGGUGUUCUUNCGCCCCCCGACACUUGUGGGGGGNGCANUNGCUCUCUUUUCUCCUUCUUCUUCUUCUCAUCCUCAUCUUUUNCCUGCUUUCCCACGUGUGUUGGGAGAGUGGAGGAGGAAGUGUGUGUGUUUGGAGGAAGAAGGUGCAGUGGGGGAAAUAUGGUGAGUGCUUGUGUGCGUGCGCAGGUGUGUUGGUCACGGCUCUCACANNNNGUCGCGAUGGA